CAGGAAGAGGAGGAAGCCCUGGAGGGGCUGGAGGUGAUGGAUGUUUUCCUCCGGUUCUCAGGGCUCCACCUCUUUCGAG
rnacentral:pre_miRNA from 2 species